UAUGUGACGGCGAAGGACUACGGCUGC
rnacentral:piRNA from 2 species